UGCGUAGGCGGGCUAAUAAGUCAGUGGUGAAAUCUCUCGGCUCAACCGGGAAACUGCCAUUGAUACUGUUAGUCUUGAGUUCGGUUGAGGUAGGCGGAAUGUGUAAUGUAGCGGUGAAAUGCUUAGAUAUUACACAGAACACCAAUUGCGUAGGCAGCUUACUAGACCGACACUGACGCUGAGGCACGAAAGCGUGGGGAGCGAACAGGAUUAGAUACCCUGGUAGACC
rnacentral:rRNA from 1 species